GAUGGCACGCUCAUUCCACCUUAAAUCGUUAUACAGGCAUUGAUGAGCAACGAAAUUGUGUAUAAUUGUGCUUCUGUAUUAAAGAAACAUUUUGGAAGAAUAAACUAAAACGAAGUGCCAUAAACAAAAAUAGAGAUCUCUGAUCGUGAAUUUAAAGACGAACGAAGAAUAGCUAUUAAACCGAUUCAUGUUUUAUUUAAAUCUCACGGGACACGAGGCUGGUCUAAUCGAUGAACAAUGGAUCGGCAUCGACGAAAGAAAAGACUACGUAACAGGGAUUGUAUACUAAUAAAAGGUGCGUUACACGCUGCGUAAGUUGCUUUAAAUCAGUAAAAUGGACCCGCAUGAGAAAAUUGUGCGUGAAUCUAUCCAGGCAGAGACGACGAUUAUCACGAAAUGACCAAACUAUUCCCAAGUGCAAGCUGACGGUUGUGCAGGAGCACAUUCUGCGGCAUAGGGGCACACCGCGUGCACACAUUAAUCAACAAGCUGUCCUUUUCCUCCAUUAAACUCUAUACGACCAUCGUCAUUCUUCGUCAAUUUGCACGGCUGGACUCACGGUCCUUCGAUCAAUUAGUAAUUGCUCUACUAACGAUACGAUUUCCAAACCUUGAUAGGUGUAUAGAUAUAGAUAGCAUCAACAAUGAAAAUAAUCGAAAAUGUUAGUUACCGAUGAUUCACAUUAUGACCAACUAUUUGAACUGAUAAAUCUAUUUGAAGUUGUCUUCAUACAUACUUUGCAUAAGCGAUAAUAUUUAAAGUAAUGUCGUGAGAACGACAUGUAUAUGUAUGUAUAUACAAUUUACACAACGUUGUCGUAUAUAUGUAUUUUAACCUUGCUGCAUUUUUGAACCAACGAAUCGUAUUUUUCUAUUACUAGAAUAUUUCUUUAAAAAGGAGCUAUAUAUAAAAAUAAUUGCUUCCAAUGUGACCGCUUAAAAAUAAACUCAUAUAAAAGAAAACUGUUACUGUCACGCAUGAUUUCUCGUUUCAAUUGUAUACUAAUAGCUUUCUUAAAGCAUUAAAAAUCCCUUUCUAUAAAAUGCAAUUGGAAAAUCAAAGUUAAAGGUAUAAGCAAAGAUCAAAAUUAAGUGAGGUUAAAAAGUAAAAAGCUCAAGAAUCGCAGCAGGGUUGAGUUAAACACUUUGAAAUAAAAAAUAUGAUGAUUCUUUCAGCUAAGAAUGGUUAAGAGCGAAGAUAUUUCGACUUGUGACCGUAACAACGGGCGGGAAAAGAACACACUCGUUGUCAUGUUCGCAAAUUAAGCUAUCUUCCCGACAGAUGCUUCGAAACGCGCGAAGUUGCAUCUAUAUAUGUAUCGAAUAGAUGAUGGUCUAUUAUAUGUAUGAUUCUCUUUAUAAAAAGCAGACGAGUUCCUUCAAUUUGAAGAUAAACUCAAAAGAAAAUUUACACGUAAUAAGAUAAGACUAAUCGUUUGACUAAUGACCAUGGAAAAUUCGAACUUUAAUCCCAUUUAGACCUAUAUAUUUGGGUCUGCAUUUCGUCUAACGCAGUCAGCAGGCAAUUGUCGAGGACACAAGAGCUAAAGAGAGGCUACCACGUUACCUUAAUGUGCUGAUCUGUCUGUUAAGUAGUAGUGCCGUAGAUGAUGAUUUAAAAAUUCACCUCGGCACGAUUACUUUUCACACAGAAAUGCCAUAAUUGCGAUGGGUACAUACAUCGUAUAAUCGUGAUUAAGUUCAAUUUAUUCGAUAUUUCAAAAAUAAUAGCAGUAAAUUAAUGUUGAAUCUACUUACGAAUUGUUUAAAAAUGUUCUACCAUCUUGAAUAUUUCGUCAUGGUAGUCUUGGAAAUUUCAAAUAUAUUUCACUCUGCUUGUAAUUCACGGUAAGUUUCUAAACGCGUCACAAUCGUUAAAUGAAUUGUUAUUACGAUAUUAAACGACUUAUUCUAUAUAUAAAACCACUUAUUUCAUUUAUAAAAUUAAAAUAUAUCCGGAAAACGACUAAUCGUAGCGCGGGAAAUUUUACCACCAAAAAUAUACUUACUAAACCGGAAGGGAGCCUCUCGACCAAUCAACGUCGCGGACGCUUCAUCACUCGUGCCCGCGAUUCUCAACUGCCACCACGAAAGUCAUACCAAAAUUUAUAAAAAAAUGUAUAUUCGUUUUACUUUAUAAAUGAAUAAACAAUUAUAAAUUAA